rfam:Felis catus isolate Cinnamon breed Abyssinian chromosome A1, whole genome shotgun sequence.
GCCUGGGUGGCUCAGUCGGGUGAGCAUCCGACUUCGGCUCAGGUCAUGAUCUCGUGGGUUCGAGCCCUGCAUCAGGCU